GGAAACAUAGCUCAGCGGUAGAGUGCGUGCCUUGCAAGCAUGAGGCCCUGGGUUCGAUUCCUCAGUACCA
rfam:Dipodomys ordii contig_32843, whole genome shotgun sequence.